UUGCACGCUGGCGGCAUGCUUUACCCAUGCAAGUCGAACGGCAGCGCGGGGCAACCUGGCGGCGAGUGGCGAACGGGUGAGUAAUACAUCGGAACGUACCCAGAAGUGGGGGAUAACGUAGCGAAAGUUACGCUAAUACCGCAUACGUUCUACGGAAGAAAGUGGGGGACCUUCGGGCCUCAUGCUUUUGGAGCGGCCGAUGUCUGAUUAGCUAGUUGGUGAGGUAAAGGCUCACCAAGGCGACGAUCAGUAGCUGGUCUGAGAGGACGACCAGCCACACUGGGACUGAGACACGGCCCAGACUCCUACGGGAGGCAGCAGUGGGGAAUUUUGGACAAUGGGCGCAAGCCUGAUCCAGCAAUGACGCGUGAGUGAAGAAGGCCUUCGGGUUGUAAAGCUCUUUUGUCAGGGAAGAAACGGCUGAGGAUAAUACCUUCGGCUAAUGACGGUACCUGAAGAAUAAGCACCGGCUAAAUACGUG
rnacentral:rRNA from 1 species